GGGGAAUUUUGGACAAUGGGCGCAAGCCUGAUCCAGCCAUGCCGCGUGCAGGAUGAAGGCCUUCGGGUUGUAAACUGCUUUUGUACGGAACGAAAAGCUCUCCUCUAAUAAAGGGGGGUCAUGACGGUACCGUAAGAAUAAGCACCGGCUAACUACGUGCCAGCAGCCGCGGUAAUACGUAGGGUGCAAGCGUUAAUCGGAAUUACUGGGCGUAAAGCGUGCGCAGGCGGUUUUGUAAGACAGAGGUGAAAUCCCCGGGCUCAACCUGGGAACUGCCUUUGUGACUGCAAGGCUGGAGUGCGGCAGAGGGGGAUGGAAUUCCGCGUGUAGCAGUGAAAUGCGUAGAUAUGCGGAGGAACACCGAUGGCGAAGGCAAUCCCCUGGGCCUGCACUGACGCUCAUGCACGAAAGCGUGGGGAGCAAAC
rnacentral:rRNA from 1 species